rnacentral:rRNA from 1 species
CACGGCAAUUUCCAUCUUAGCACAUGGUGUGCACACGGAAAAAAAUAACCUACCCCGGCCCGUACCUACCCACCGCCAGCAAGGCCUUUUGGGCUGGAACUGGUCUCAAGUAGGGGAGCGUGGUGAUGGACCGUAGAGGGCCUCGACUUUAACGAUUCCAAUAGCCGCCGCCGCCGAUGUUGCGCCCCCGGCUAACGACUACCUUCUACGUCCGAACUCAAGAACGACCUGCGCCACCUGGCAAGGGAGAGUUCCUCCUCAAGCUCCUGUCGGAACUUUUAGGUCUAGGCCAUGGAAACCGCAACAACUGCUGUCUGGUUCGAUUGGGACGCCAAGUCCGCCUGAGCUUACAACCUAGACCUACGCCCGUCGUUUAACCGCCGCCACCAUGACUCUCCCGCUUGACGUCGCUCGCCGCAGCAGCUCCCCGAAGCGGCUGUCGUAGGCGUCAAUUGCCUGUCCCAGCUGGGAGUACGGGGAACAACCAGAUUCUCCAAAGGGGAAGUCUUCCUCAACUGGUUUGUCGGACCUUGUAGGUAUAGGUCACGGGGAUCAGGACAACGGUGGUGUGCUCCGCUUCGGCUGUCACGACCUCCUAAGCUUGACGCGCAGGCCGACACACGUUCUCCAGCCACCGGCGUCGGUCACUUCUCGUCCUCCACUCCAGGCAGCUUCCUUCUUACGAUGGGGCCGAGUCAGGCGUGUUAGGUGUAAUUUCCAAUUGGGCCUCCGUGGUACUACCUGAAAAUCCACUACAAGAGUGAAUGUAAAAGUAGACUUGGUGGUACUGCAAUACUAUCUCAUCUAACGUCGAUUCGUCUGUACCACGAUAAAAUGUUUAACGAAGUCUAUGACCGUAGGACAUCCCACGAUAAAAACGAACAUAGGAACGUCUAGGUCGUCAACAACCGUAUCGUUUACAUAUACAAACACGUACACCGUUGACUAAACUAAGCGUUGUCCCUCAGUCCUUGGUCGACUCGCCGAGCCAACCGAACGACUUGUGGCCCAUCGCGGACACGGGCCGCCAGACUUGGCUUCACUCGGAUGCUGGUAUGUGUAGGACCCUGAACUUCUUUCCCGUAGGCGCACUGACCACCUUGUUCUUUCGGUUUAGUCUUUAGACACCCCCUCUAGUUGUACUGAACUUUAUUUAAUCAUCUUGUACAUAGGUCCGAAGAGGGCGAAGGCUCGAUAUAAACAAUGGUCGAGUACCGGUGGCUUUUCCGUGCUACACCUUCCUUCUUCUUGGACUCAUCCCUGUAGUCACCAACAAACCUAAUCCUCUUAAAUUCAACCCAGAAAUCUUUUUGUCAAAAUCCUCUUUAAGAUCCCUUUGAUCAAAAUCAAUUAAUAAAACAAUACGUUAAGAAACAAACCUAGUUCUUUGGUGAAGAUGUUUUGAGACAAACCCAAUUUAGGAAACUUCUUGGUGAAAUAAUCUGCGGACUGGGAGCGAGGUCACAUACCCGUAACUGUACCAAGACAGACGGCACCAGUACGAGUCACGGCUCUCGACGUGUAGCGGCGAUCGCCGCGGAGGUACAGCACGUCGUAGCACAGCGGCGUCAACCACAAGAUCGAUCACGGUGCUCGACGCCGCAACACGGAGAGUCUUCCGCAAGUUAGUCGACUCGGUCUACCGCAAGGCCAUGUUUAACAAGUACAUCUUGUACGGGUCGCAACGGCCGAGCGAUGACAAGACGCCGGUCCGCGACAGUUUUGAUGGUUUCGCCCGAGGACACGUGGACUCCUCCCAGUCCACCUGGUUUGACCGAACCAAAUGAACAUAAAACCAAAUAGAAGAAAACGAAACAUCUAACUUGUUUUUUUUUAGACUUAUAUAUCAAAGAAACUGUGUCUAUAACUGUCACCUCAGUACCUCUGUAC